rnacentral:rRNA from 1 species
UACGGAGGGUGCGAGCGUUGUUCGGAAUCACUGGGCGUCAAGCGCGUGUAGGCGGCCUUUUAAGUCUGAUGUGAAAGCCCGGGGCUCACCCCCGGAAGUGCAUUGGAAACUGGGAGGCUAGAGUACCGGAGAGGAAGGUGGAAUUCCUGGUGUAGCGGUGAAAUGCGUAGAUAUCGGGAGGAACACCUGAGGCGAAGGCGGGCUACUGGGCCGAUACUGACGCUGAGGCGCGAAAGCCAGGGGAGCAAACGGG